GACGAACGCUGGCGGCGUGCUUAACACAUGCAAGUCGAACGGAAAGGCCCUGCUUGCAGGGUACUCGAUUGGCGAACGGGUGAGUAACACGUUUGUGAUCUGCCCUGCACUUCGGGAUAAGCCUGGGAAACUGGGUCUAAUACCGGACAGGAGCCAUUUUUAGUUUGAUUGGUGGAAAGUUUUUUAGGUGUAGGAUGAGCACGCGGCCUAUCGGCUUGGUGGUGGGGUAAGGGCCUACCAAGGCGGCGACGCGUAGCCGGCGUGAGAGGGUGGACGGCAACAUUCGGACUGAGACUCGGCCCAGACUCCGACGGGAGGCAGAGGUAGGGAAUAUUGCACAAUGAGCGCAAGCGUGAUGCAGCGACGCCGCGUGGGGGAUGACGGUGUACGGGUUGUAAACUCAUUUCGCUAGGGACGAAGCUUAUUGUGACGGUACCUAGAGAAGAAGCACCGGCUAACUACGUG
rnacentral:rRNA from 1 species